rnacentral:rRNA from 1 species
CCUACGGGUGGCAGCAGUGAGGAAUAUUGGUCAAUGGGCGCGAGCCUGAACCAGCCAAGUCGCGUGAGGGAAGACGGUCCUAUGGAUUGUAAACCUCUUUUGUCGGGGAGCAAAAGACGCCACGCGUGGCGUUCCGAGCGUACCCGACGAACAAGCAUCGGCUAACUCCGUGCCAGCAGCCGCGGUAAUACGGAGGAUGCGAGCGUUAUCCGGAUUUAUUGGGUUUAAAGGGUGCGCAGGCGGAAUAUCAAGUCAGCGGUAAAAUUGAGAGGCUCAACCUCUUCGAGCCGUUGAAACUGGUGUUCUUGAGUGAGCGAGAAGUAUGCGGAAUGCGUGGUGUAGCGGUGAAAUGCAUAGAUAUCACGCAGAACUCCGAUUGCGAAGGCAGCAUACCGGCGCUCAACUGACGCUCAUGCACGAAAGUGUGGGUAUCGAACAGGAUUAGAUACCCGGGUAGUC